rnacentral:rRNA from 1 species
AGCGAACGCUGGCGGCAGGCCUAACACAUGCAAGUCGAACGGUAACAGGUCUUCGGAUGCUGACGAGUGGCGAACGGGUGAAUAAUAUAUCGGAACGUGCCCAGUAGUGGGGGAUAGCCCGGCGAAAGCCGGAUUAAUACCGCAUACGACCUGAGGGUGAAAGGGGGGGAUUCGCAAGAACCUCUCGCUAUUGGAGCGGCCGAUAUCAGAUUAGGUAGUUGGUGGGGUAAAGGCAUACCAAGCCUGCGAUCGGUAGUUGGUCUGAGAGGACGACCAGCCACACUGGGACUGAGACACGGCCCAGACUCCUACGGGAGGCAGCAGUGGGGAAUUUUGGACAAUGGGCGCAAGCCUGAUCCAGCAAUGCCGCGUGCAGGAAGAAGGCCUUCGGGUUGUAAACUGCUUUUGUCAGGGAAGAAAUCCCUUGGGAUAAUACCUCGGGGGGAUGACGGUACCUGAAGAAUAAGCACCGGCUAACUACGUGCCAGCCGCCGCGGUAAGAC